CUCAAUGGCGGGCCGAAUGGGGGCGUCGAGAGACGCGCUGGUCUGUGAGUCCGGUAGUUCCAACCCUGUUCGGUUCUGCCACCAAU
rnacentral:antisense_RNA from 1 species